GUUGCAGUUCGCCGCCCGUGACGCAGUUGUACUGGUGAGCAAGCAUCCCAUAACGCAAACCUGGUAGUGUCUGUGGAUGAAGGUUGGAUGUCUGCCUGGUUGAUCGUUCCCGACUUCACCCGAUCGCGCAUCGAAUGAGCGAUUCAGAAGCGCAUCCGAUCCCGCAUUGAACCUGUGGGGUCGAGUAUCAGGCUCCCGUUUCUGACAUGUGGAUUGCACCUGCGUGGUUGUCCAGGCUGGAGGUUACGGGUGGCAUGUGCCCGCUGGGCGUCGAGACGGAACGGUUUCCAUCAUGGAAGAAGCACUGAACCUGCCCGCCCCGAGCAUGACCGUGUCCCAACUCAUAGAUGUGUUCGGGCGGAAGGGCUUGAGCCCCUCCCAAAUGGUAGUCCUAUCAGGUGCCCACACCAUCGGAAAAGCCCCGUGCGUCACAUUCGACGACCGCGUUCAGACAACCCCGGUGGACCCAACUCUGGCUCCCAGCUUCGCCACGUUCUUGAAGGGGCAGUGCCCGUAUGCAGCAAUCCAAUCCACCAGCGUGGACAUGGAUUCCACCGCGCACACAUUCGACAGCCAGUACUUCAAGGACAUCAUCGCCGGGAGAGGCCUGCUCACCUCGGACCAGAGCCUGUUGUACGACUCCCGCACCAGCGGGGGUGUGUACGCCAACAACGGCGCGGCAUUCUACCGCAACUUCGCCAAGGCGAUGGUGAAGAUGAGCCAGAUUGAGGUGCUCACAGGUUUGGACGGCGAAAUUCGGCGACAGUUUGACCAGGUGAACAGCCACUAGAAAGGAAAGGGGGCCCAGGAAACAAGGCCGCCCAGAUAUGGAGAGCAUCCGUGUAUCAUAGAGUAGAUUAGGACGAGUUCAUUGCACAUGGUGAGCGUCAACUGCCACGUGCUCAUUCUUUCCGGUGCACAGCAUCGGCAUGCUUUGCGUUGCUUGUCGUAAGCAAUUUACCGCACAUCGCAGUAAAUUGCUUACGAUUUAUACAAUUGAAGAGACGAUACCAAUAUAAUCAAGAUCCAAAACUUAAUUGAAUCCUUGAGCCAUAAGCCAUGCUUUGAAUUUGUCAAUUUCUUUUGUUGCUUUUGAGUUUAAUUUUAAACAUCCAUUUGCGUGUAAUUGGAUAAUAAUAAGAUAGUAGUUUUGUGAAGAUCUACGUACUAUUGGCCACAUAGGAUAUUAAUUCUUUGACAAUGGUAUGUUGCUAUUGAGAAGCUUCAAUAGAACCAAGAGUCCUAUUAUGUAUUUUUAAUUCAAAAAGAAUAUGGGUGAAUAAAAAUAAUAUAUUUUUUUUGUUACUAGAGAAAGUUUGGUUUGUUUUCAAGAGUAAAACAUUCAUGUUUUAUAGUUAAAAUAUAUAUAUAUAUAUAUAUCAUAACUUAAUAAUGCAUUUAUUUUUAUAUCACUAUUAUCAUAAAAAAUUAAAAAGAUUGUUAUUUAUUUUGAUAAAUAAUGAUAAUAAUGAAAAGAUAUCAAUUUAAAUAAUUUAUUAAUUAAAUAAAAUAGUAAAAAUAUUGACUUGGAGGCUUAAGCUUCCAAAACUUAAUCUUUUGACUAAAUGGUGCAAAAGAUAAAUUUUGAUCCAAUCUUAUUUUAUUACAUAUAUUAAUUUAAAAGAUUUGUAGUAUCAAUUUUUAGGUAAUGGUGAAUGUGAGAAUAAAAUUCAACACUCGAUUUGAACUUCAAGAUUGCCUUAAUUAAGAUUUUUUUUAGUUGGUGGUAUAUAAAGAAAAAAAAAAAAAACUGAAAAUAAAGAAGGAAAAAUACAUACAAGAAAAUAAAAUAAAAUCAAGCAAUUAUACUCUAAAAAUCAAAUUUUAGUCUCUUCAUCAAAUUUUUAUAUAAUUAGAUAAAAAAUUAAAAAGUAAAAAAUAUAUUUUUAGAUAAAUAAUUUUUUUUUCUACCUAUGAUAUAAAAAUAAUUCAAAUCUAAGUUAGUAUAAGUACAUUAAAGAUUUUAAUCAUUCAAGGUUGAAGAUUGAUGAUUUUGAUCAUUGCUUUAAUGAUUGUAAUGGAAAAUUGAUGGAAAAUUGGAAUAAUAGGAUCUACAAAUUUAACCCCUUUAUAUGUUUUUUACAUAGUUGCUAGUUUUAUAAAGAAAGAUUUAAUAGAAUGACCUAAUUGGAUCUUUUAUAACAAUAUAUAGAAAGAAUUCUUUAACAUUUGGAGUAUAAAAUUUCAUUCUUGAUCCAACAUUGAUAUAGUCAAUGUGGCUUUUUGUAAGUAAGAGAAGGUGUCAUAUUAUUCUUUUGAUUUAAAGAAAAAUUAUGAAUUAUUUGUUUUGAAUAAUGAGCAAGUUUAUGAGGUUGGAAUUUAUUAUUUUUUAAACAUAUAUGUUAUAUAAAUUAUAAAAAAAAUUUGGUUGUGUGGUUUGUUUGUCACUAAAUUGUACAUUACAACUCAAAGUCAUAAAUUUUCAAAUUAUGGUAUCUAAACUCUAUAGUUAGACUUUGAUAUUUGAUGAAAUCAAGUUUAGGAUUUAGAAUUCAUCAUCUUGUUUUCCAACACAUCAUUUUCUUGUCUUAUCUCAGUUUUAAAUGAUUCUAAUUUAAUAUCAUUGAAAGUCUUAUUUAUAACUUAAUCAUGUAAGGUUUGUAUAGCUAAAGAUAUUAUAUUACUUAUAAAAAAUAGGAAAAAAUGGCUAAAAUUAUUUUAAAGUUUAAUGUUGAUAGAAUUUAAUAUGUCAAUGUUGUAAAUGCAUAAAAGUAGGUAUAGGUUCUUUUAUCUUUUUAUGCAUACAAUCAUUUUUCUUAUCAAUAAUUUCUACUUUUAAGAAAGUAUGAAUGAUUCUUUCUAAGUACUUAAGUCUCUUAUUUUGUAUAUCUAAAAUUAUAAAAUGCAUAACAAAAGUUUGGAUAAAAUAUUAUUUUGUGGUAUCUUGAUUUAAAAAGAUAUCAAUAUAUUGGAUACAUAAUACAUAAAAUCACUUCACAUAAGAAAUGAUAUCUUCUAAGAGACCUUAUUUAAUAUUUAUCAAAGUUAAAAGAGCUUAUUUUUGGCCAAUUACAUAUUUAAAUAUACAAAAGAAGGUUGCUAGAUAUUGUUUCAAUGUAGUAAAUGAUUCCUCUAUAUGAAUGUAUACCGUACAUAUGCAAAAUAUGUUAAAGUUAUUCAUAACCAUAUUCAAUAAUAUCCAUGGUUGAUUACUAAAUAAAUAAUUAGUAAUUUUAUAUUUUAUUCUAUAUGAGUUAAUAGGUCUUUAUUUAUAGAUCCAUUAAAACUUUGAAGAUUAAAAAGAAUUGAAGCCUCUUAUAAUUUCAAAGGCACAAUAUUAGAUAGUUCUUUAGGCAACAUCAUUAAAUCAAUUAAAUAUUUUUUGGAAGAUUUUGAUUACUUAUAUUAGCCUUUAUAGUUGAUGAAGGUGAGAGAUCUAUUUGAGAUUUUAGGAUCUUUUAUUAAUCUUAAAAUAGCAAAAUCAUCUAUUAUUUAGACUUUAUUUUAUAAUAAGAAAUUUUAAAAAAAAUUAAUAAAAUUAUAAGUAGUUUUUUAAAUUGUAAUACAUAGAUAUCACAAAAUAUAAAUAGGGUGAAUAAGAAAGUAACUUGUAGAGCAACCUAUAAUAAUUAAUUAUGUUUUGUGAAUUUCAUCACUUUCUACAAAUAUGGAUUCAAUAACAAAAAGAAGACAUGUUAGGCAUUAAUUCAACUUCACUUUUCAAAAAUGUCAAAAAAUUGAAGUACUUAUGAUCAACACAAUCAAGAUAUCUUAUCUAAAAAAGUAGAGUGGAGAAUUUUUUGAUAUAUAUAAUUACAUAUAUUUAAUAUUUAAUGAUACUACAAAGUAAUGAAAUAACCAAGCAAUUAUUUAAAGGACAAAAAAAUCUAAUUGUGUAUUUUUUUUAAGUAUAUUUGAAAUUUUAAAUGAAGAAAAAGAGUUAGCUAAAACUUGAAAACCAAUUAAUCUUGUUAUGCCAUAUUCUUUUCCUUAAUUUUGUCUAAAAUUUGAAAUUUAUUUGAAGAACUAUGCUUUGGAAUCUACUUUUUUUUUAAAGCCAUACUUCUUCUUUACUUUUGUCUAAAAUUUCAAUUUUUAGACUCACAAGUUAAGACAUAAUACUUACUAAGGUUGUUCUUUUGUAAUUUAAUGUUGUAGUUUAAGUCCACUUCUUAUUGUUUUUAAAAAAGCAAGCAAUUUAUCAAUACAAUCAAAUAAUAGCAAAACUAAUAAUAUACUAGUCAUACACUAAUUAAAAUCAAUAACAUUUAUAAAAAGUAAUUACUUAAGUACCACAAAUAGAUAAAAAUUAUUAUUCAUAUAAAAAGUAAAAAUAGUCAUUAAAAGAAAGAAAAAAAAAUAAAAAUAAAAGAUAUAUAUAAAAAAUAAAAACAUAAAAUAAGUAAUAGUAAAAUUUAAAAAAACAUAAAAUAAAUAAUAGUAAACUUAAAAAAAUAUAUAAAAAAAUAAAUAAACAAAAAAACAACAUUAAAAUUUGAAUUAAUUUUUAAACUAUAAUUUAUCUAAAACUAAAAAUAUAAGACUAAAAAUAUAAUUAACAAGGUAAUGAUGGAUGAUGUAUAAUUGACUACAUCCAAAGCAAAGUUUGCAUUUAAAUGACUUAUAAUAUCGCAGACCAAGACUUUAAGUGCUUCUAGAUAUUUAAUUAGACUUUUAUGGCAUUCUUGGAAUAUAAGUUUUGUACUACUAUUCAAACAUGUAUACACUCUCAAAUUAGUUUGAUAUUAAAUAUAUACACUAUUUACUAUUUGAAAUUUAUUUGAAGUUUAUUUAUUUACAAAGAAGCAAAAAUUCUUUUAAGAUUCAAAAAUUCAAGUUCAACUUGAUUACAUCACACAAAAAAAUUGACCAUGACACAUACACGCCACAAUGCUACUUUCAAGAAUUUUCAUACAAAUCUCAUAUGUAUUUUCAAAUCAAAUUGAAGAUUAAAGCAAACUAAAUUCAAAUGCUAAGUUAAAACCUUUGCACUUACAAAGAAAGUAAUAAACAGAAGUAAAUAAAUUUUCACAUAGUUUUCGUCUUUCAAAUCCAACACAUUUGUACAAAAGCUUUGAUAUAAAUACCUCAAUGUUGGCAAUGUAAAAGUUUGUAUAAAUUAUGCAUUUUAUUACUUAUUACAAAAACAAUUCCAUAUUUGAAAUAAUCACACUGUGCAUAUCACGUCCAUCCUUUCUUGGGGCCUCAACAUAAACUCUUUAUAUACAAUUGUUUCAUAGUAAUUUUGUCCUGCUGCAGCUUUCAAGAUUGACUACCUCAUUGUGCUUUAUGAUGAAAGAUGCAAAUAUUCUUGUAAGGUUCAAAGUUUCAAACUCAAUUUCACUACGGCACGCGCAUGUUUUGACCAGGACACAUACACGCCACCUGGUAACGCUACUUUCAUGAAUUUCCAUACGUAUCUCACGUGCAUGAUAGAAUCGAAUCGAGGAAUAGAAUAACUGAACUCAACUGCUGGGGGAAAUCCACCGCACUCAUAAAGUGCAACAAAGUGAACGUCAUGCUCAACAAAGCACGAUGGGAUCCAUGCGGGAAGCACCACGGAUUACAUCAACAAAGUUUCCCGGAAACAUCACGCUUCCCCACCCCUGCUUCACAGGAUCUAUCUCAACCGUAUUUGAAUGAACUUGGGGAAUUGGAAACACACUACAAAGAAUAGAAGCAACCUUCAAAAAAUAAUACCCACAAAUAUGAACAGACAAUUCGGCCGCCAAGGAUGACGGGUACCGGUUGGUGAGUCAACAGUUGCCAGCUGCACGGAGACCGAAUCACUGCUCACUUCCAGGGGCGGAUGUUGCAAGGUCACCCAACUCCAAUACCAGGCUCGAUCACUCAUCCAUGGUGACCGGUCCCGCCAUAUUGCCCAAGUCCAGCUGCUGUUGUCAACUGUUUCGUUUCGCUAGAGCCUCCAUCUUGCGUGGGUUAGAUUUGUAAGCAUGUGCGCUGAUGUUGUGCUGGCGACCGGCUCUCUCCGUCCCACGGUCAAUACUGUCCCCUCUUCAGACUUGAGCCCACUCCGAAAAGUCUUGGAACGCCACGAGGGGUUUCUGUGGUCCGUACACGUUCGACGGCCCGUACUGUUCUCGACGUCAACUCGGAUAUAGGACACUCCCAGUCUUCCUCGUGUCGUUGCGGUCUUGUGCAGUGCCACUCGUAUCCGGACGCGCAAAGCUUCAUCAGCCAAGGCGACUCUCAUCUUCUUUCCCUGCAUCUUCGUACUCAAACUUGCGACUUGCCCAGUUCCUGAACACCACAUACAAAUACGUUUCAGAGGCAGUGCCAGUCUCACCACAACUCGCGCUGCUCCCAAUCGAUCGACCUCGACCUCGACCUCGACCUGCAUCUGGAUCAGCGGUCUUGUAUCCAUUCGUCUACUGAUCAUCCGCGAUUCCUGGCGCUUUUGCAGGACGCUGAACCACGUCCAUAUUGGAUGAGAUCCAAGUGCGACGCAGAGCGCCCACCCAAAUCCAGUUUCGAGCUCCGGCGCGUCCCACUCCAAGACUAGCGCCUCGUAACCACAAAUAUAUUUCAGGUGCAGGUGCUACAGAUAUUUCCACCACCUACUAGCACAUCGGUGAACCGAAUCUUACCAGUACGAUGGGGAGGUGGCCCUCACCGGCGUUACUGGCGAUCUUCGUAACCAUCGCCCUUGCCAUGAAUUCAAUCACCCCGGCUGCCGCUCACACUGGACUCAAGGUAGGGUUCUAUCGUCACAGCUGUCCCCAAGUGGAGGCCAUCGUCUACAACUCUAUGGCUCAAUCCACCAAGGCCGACGACACCGUUGCACCUGGAAUCCUUCGGAUGGCGUUCCACGAUUGCUUCGUCCGGGUACGUGAUCGUCUUGAUUUGCAGCACCCCAGCCAGCUGGAUCGAGUCNNNNNNNNNNNNNNNNNNNNNNNNNNNNNNNNNNNNNNNNNNNNNNNNNNNNNNNNNNNNNNNNNNNNNNNNNNNNNNNNNNNNNNNNNNNNNNNNNNNNUGACGCCAUCGACGCCGCAAAAAGAGCUGUGGAGAACGCUUGCCCGGGCGUAGUCUCAGCCGCCGAUGUGUUGCAGUUCGCCGCCCGUGACGCAGUUGUACUGGUGAGCAAGCAUCCCAUAACGCAAACCUGGUAGUGUCUGUGGAUGAAGGUUGGAUGUCUGCCUGGUUGAUCGUUCCCGACUUCACCCGAUCGCGCAUCGAAUGAGCGAUUCAGAAGCGCAUCCGAUCCCGCAUUGAACCUGUGGGGUCGAGUAUCAGGCUCCCGUUUCUGACAUGUGGAUUGCACCUGCGUGGUUGUCCAGGCUGGAGGUUACGGGUGGCAUGUGCCCGCUGGGCGUCGAGACGGAACGGUUUCCAUCAUGGAAGAAGCACUGAAC
rnacentral:lncRNA from 1 species